UCGGACGUAGUGCAGGGCGCACGGCUGUCUCCAAUUAUAUCGGAACGAGUGGUAUGCAGCAGCGGGGUUCAAAUCCCUGCGUCCGCC